UUUAAUCCAACCCCCCAUUUAUUUCAAACUCAACAUCGGUCCAAUAUCAAACCACACGAACUUCAUUCAAAACAUGAACUGAUCUCAACUGCUCCUUCAAACUUUCAACUUCAAACCCACGAACUGAUCUCAACUGCUAAAUGUGCUUCUUGAAACCGUCUUCAAGCUCUUCAAAAGCCGACUCAGAAACGAACUGCUGCUCUCCAUUUCUCUCAGAUAAAAUGUCUUCACAAAAAAAAAGGGGAGGAAUCAUCUACAGUUAGUAAAAGAGCUAAGGGGGCAUCAUUAGAUGAUCUUGCUGAACAGGCAAAUAUUCUUUCUGAACAAACUGCUGAACAGGAAACCUCUCAAGUAGGAGUUUCUGGCCAAGAAAGUAAAGAAGAUCAAGUAGAUGAACAAGAUAAAGAAGAAGAACAAGAAGAAAAUAAAGUAGAAGAAGAAGAAGAAGAAGCCGAAGAAAAAGAAGAAGAAAAAGAAGAAGAUAAAGAAGAAGAAAAAGAAAGAGAAGAAGAAGAAAACAAUGAUGAAAAUGAAGAAGAAGAAGAAGAAGAAGAAGAAGAAGAAGAAGAAGAAGAAGAAGAAGAAGAAGAAGAACAUGAUGUAAAUAAUGAUGAUAAUGAAGAGGAUAAAAUUGCAUCUUUUGAAAGGUCGGCGACCGGGGCUGUUGAUUCUUUUAUUGGGACUGAUAUUGACAAACCUUCCACUGAUGAAGUUGUCCAAACUUUCAGUAUUGAGAAGUUCAGUGUGCAGAUGCCGAUGGAUAAAAUAGGUGAUUUGAAUGGUGAUCUUGUUGUAAAAUCAGUCAUGGGCAAGCCCUUUGAUUACUUUAGGAAGAUACUUCAGGAGGAGGACUUGGAGGAUUUCUUCAGGGCCACAUGUUUUGGCAUGUAUCUAGAUUUGCCUGAGGACAACAAUGUAAGGUUUCAAAGGACCAUUGUGUAUGGUCUUCUCAAACGAAGAAUUAUUUGUAGCAAAAAUGAUGAGAUAUGGAUAAACUACUGCGGCAUGCCAGUUUGUUUUGGCAUCAAGGAGUUUGCCAUAAUCACCGGACUGAGGUGUCAUGCUCCUUCUCGGCCUCUUCCUACGGUUACAUUAAAGAAGGGAGCCAUGACACCCAAGUCAUCCAAGGGAGCCAAGACACCCAAGUCAUCCAAGGCAGCCAAGAAAAGUAAGAAAGGCAAAGCCAAGGUUGAUGAUGAUUUGGAUUUAGUGGAUGUUUGUGGAAAGAGCUACAAGGCAGCGGAUUUUCUAGCAGACUUGAAGUCAGAAACUAUGUCAAGAAAGCACAAGGAGUCAUUGUGCUUAGUUUGGUUUGUGAAUUCUAUUCUUUGGGCAAGGGAUGUAAAGAAUAAUAUACAACUUGGUUUGAUUAAACUGUCGGAGGAUCAUGAGGCAUUCAAUAACUAUCCAUGGGGUCAUAAAAGUUUUAAGUUGACUGUUGAAUAUUUGUCCAAAGCUUUGAACCCUAAUGUGAAGACUUCCAACAUCUAUGGCUUCCCUUGGGCCUUCAUGGUAAACUUUCUUUCUUCAAUGUUUUAUCUUUUUAAUUCUUUUCCUUCAUUGAUUAUUCUGAUUUUUUGUGGCAUAAUUUUUUCUAGGCUUGGGCAUUUGAAGCCAUUCCUCACCUACGGAGUCAAGUCAGGGACUACUCGGAAGAAGUUUAUUUUCCAAGGAUCCUCAGAUGGUUGACUACCAAAAACAACAAUAAAAAAAUGAAUCUUGAUCCUUUUAACCCCCCCCCCCCCCGAAGGCAGCAGUAAGUUGUACAUCCAAGGCUUAUCCCGACAAAACGAGAGGUGCAGAUGCCAUGCCUUGUUAGUUUAGGGCAUAGGGAAUCUGUGCAUGAUGAAUUGAUUGAUCAGAUAAAAG